AGCUCCAAUAGCGUAUAUUAAAGUUGUUGCAGUUAGAACGCUCGUAGUCGGAUUUCGGGGCGUUCCGACCGGUCUGCCGAUGGGUAUGCACUGGCCGGAGUGUCCUUUUUGCCGGAGACCGUGCCUACUCUUAACUGAGCGGGGGCGGGAGACGGCACUUUUACUUUGAAAAAAUCAGAGUGUUUCAAGCAGGCAGCUCGCUCUUGCAUGGAUUAGCAUGGGAUAAUGAAAUAGGACUUUGGUGCUAUUUUGUUGGUUUCGAACACCGAAGUAAUGAUGAGAAGGGACAGUCAGGGGCACUCGUAUUCCGCAGAGAGAGGUGAAAUUCUCAGACCCGCGGAAGACGAACCACUGCGAAAGCAUUUGCCAGGGAUGUUUUCA
rnacentral:rRNA from 1 species